CCUUACAUACAAACCAAAACACUCGGUAAAUUCACUCACAAUCAACAACAACAUACCCCGUGGGACUCUCGGGAAUGAUAGAAAACACAUCAACCUUGCCCCUACCUCAGAGAUAGAGAGGCUAUUUCCGACAGGCGCUUGGCUCAAGGUACUCACAAUCAACAACAACAACAUACCCCGUAUACUCCCCCAAAGUUGGGAAUAUCCGGGAAUGAUACAAAAUACGUCAAACCUUGCCCCUACCUCAGAGAUAGAGAGGCUAUUUCUGACAGGCGCUUGGCUCAAGGUACUCACAAUCAACAACCAACCAACAGAAAAAAAAAAUCAAAUCUUUUGUCAUCUCUUCCAAAUGUAUCCUCUGAACAUAGCUCCCCUGCCAAAAUUCAACCUUGAACAAUCAACAUAAACACCAAAAAAACUAAAUAACAAUCA
rnacentral:lncRNA from 1 species